CGGGUGAGUAACGCGUGGGUAACCUGCCUUAUACAGGGGGAUAACAGUCAGAAAUGGCUGCUAAUACCGCAUAAGCGCACAGGGCUGCAUGGCUCAGUGUGAAAAACUCCGGUGGUAUAAGAUGGACCCGCGUUGGAUUAGCUGGUUGGUGGGGUAACGGCCCACCAAGGCGACGAUCCAUAGCCGGCCUGAGAGGGUGAACGGCCACAUUGGGACUGAGACACGGCCCAG
rnacentral:rRNA from 1 species